rnacentral:rRNA from 1 species
AGUCACACUGGAACUGAGACACGGUCCAGACACCUACGGGUGGCAGCAGUCGAGAAUUUUUCUCAAUGGGGGAAACCCUGAAGGAGCGACGCCGCGUGGAGGAUGAAGGCUUUCGGGUUGUAAACUCCUGUCAUUUGAGAACAAUGCCCCGGCAUUAACUAUGUCGGGGUUGAUAGUAUCAGAAGAGGAAGGGACGGCUAACUCUGUGCCAGCAGCCGCGGUAAUACAGAGGUCCCAAGCGUUGUUCGGAUUCAUUGGGCGUAAAGGGUGCGUAGGUGGCGUCGUAAGUCGGGUGUGAAAUUUCGGAGCUCAACUCCGAAACUGCAUUCGAUACUGCGGUGCUUGAGGACUGGAGAGGAGACUGGAAUUUACGGUGUAGCAGUGAAAUGCGUAGAGAUCGUAAGGAAGACCAGUGGCGAAGGCGGGUCUCUGGACAGUUCCUGACACUGAGGCACGAAGGCCAGGGGAGCAAACGGGAUUAGAUACCCCGGUAGUCCUGGCAGUAAACGGUGCACGUUUGGUGUGGGAGGAUUCGACCCCUUCCGCGCCGGAGCUAACGCGUUAAACGUGCCGCCUGGGGAGUACGGUCGCAAGAUUAAA